CCGGAAGUGGGGAAAGGUCGGAUUGCAGCUAGAAUGGGAAAGUGGGCCCCUUCCAUCCCUGGAAGGUAACAGGAGUAGCAAUGGAACGCCUGUGUCCCAACUUCUCUCCUAGGGGAGAAAUUCCAGGUCGGGGCUGAGAGAGAGCUGACAACAGGGCUGUGUAGGUGCAGGUUUCCGUGAGGUUUGCGCCCAAGGUGAGGCGCCCCGGGGGUGCGCGCAGGCUAGGAGCGGUGAGCACCGGGAGCGCGCGGUACAUGGAGCGAGCAGGGGGGAGCUCCGGGCAUCGGGAGCGCGCAGGCGGGGAGCGCGGGGCAUCGGGAGCACGCAGGCGGGGAGCCGUGAGCACCGGGAGCCUCGGUACCUGGAGCGCGCAGGCUGGAAGCAAGGGGUACAUGGAGCGCGCAGGCGGGGAGCGCGGGGCGCCGGGAGCGCGCAGGCGGGGAGCGCGGGGCAGCCUGGCUGGAGCUCCCCCAGGAGCCGGAGCACGAGGACCGCGCGCCCCCACGGAGCCCUGACUCGACCGAGGAUGGGCGAGCGGUGCCGGGCAGAAGGGGCCAGGGACAGCACAAGGCGCCUGGCACAGACGCAAGACAGCGCUUUCCCUACCCAAACCAAACCGCAAACCCAGGAGCUCAACGAGGAAGCUUGCCCAAGUACACGAAUGUGGACGCAUCGGGCAGAGAAGAGUUGGCUGGCUGAUCUGUGCCAGGACUGCCACAGACAGGAGUCUUCGUUUUCACAGCAUGAUUCCUUUUUACCCGUAGCAACACUUUUGGGCUUCAUCUUUACCGUGAGUUCUUCUCUCUGCACCUUCUCUGUUCCCCUGCUCCACGCUGGCCCUGUCUUUCCAGGAGAUUCCCUGACUCUAGUGCCCAGUUCCUGGCAAAUCUCCUUCACCUUGGAGGACAUUGAC
rnacentral:lncRNA from 1 species